rnacentral:rRNA from 1 species
GACGUAGGGGGCAAGCGUUGUUCGGAAUUAUUGGGCGUAAAGGGUGCGUAGGCGGUGCGGUAAGUCUGUUGUGAAAUCUCCGGGCUCAACUCGGAGUCUGCAUCAGAAACUGCCGUGCUGGAGUGUGGGAGAGGUGAGUGGAAUUCCCGGUGUAGCGGUGAAAUGCGUAGAGAUCGGGAGGAACACCUGCGGCGAAAGCGGCUCACUGGACCAUAACUGACGCUGAUGCACGAAAGCUAGGGGAGCAAACAGG